UGUAAUAUGUAUUCUGGAACUCUUUUAAGAAGUGUUCCGGUUUGCUUUUUUUUUAAUAACUUUUUUUAUUUUUUUUAUUUUGCAGGAAUGGAAAAUCUUCCCCAAAUAUGUGUAGAUACUACUGAUGCGUUUAUAACGACUGAAAGAUUUGGUACACGAGAAGAGGUUAUCAGAUGGAUUAAAGAGGUUGGAAUCGAAGAUACUACUGAUGCGUUUAUAACGACUGAAAGAUUUGGUACACGAGAAGAGGUUAUCAGAUGGAUUAAAGAGGUUGGAAUCGAUAAUAAAGUAACUGUUAUU
rnacentral:lncRNA from 1 species